rnacentral:rRNA from 1 species
GUGGGGAAUCUUGCGCAAUGGGCGAAAGCCUGACGCAGCCAUGCCGCGUGAAUGAUGAAGGUCUUAGGAUUGUAAAAUUCUUUCACCGGGGACGAUAAUGACGGUACCCGGAGAAGAAGCCCCGGCUAACUUCGUGCCAGCAGCCGCGGUAAUACGAAGGGGGCUAGCGUUGCUCGGAAUUACUGGGCGUAAAGGGCGCGUAGGCGGACAGUUUAGUCAGCGGUGAAAGCCCAGGGCUCAACCUUGGAAUUGCCUUUGAUACUGGCUGUCUUGAGUACGGGAGAGGUGAGUGGAACUCCGAGUGUAGAGGUGAAAUUCGUAGAUAUUCGGAAGAACACCAGUGGCGAAGGCGACUCACUGGCCCGUUACUGACGCUGAGGCGCGAAAGCGUGGGGAGCAAACAGGAUUAGAAACCCUAGUAGUCC